rnacentral:rRNA from 1 species
AGGACGAACGCUGGCGGCGUGCUUAACACAUGCAAGUCGAGCGGUAAGGCCCUUUCGGGGGUACACGAGCGGCGAACGGGUGAGUAACACGUGGGUGACCUGCCCUUAGCUCUGGGAUAAGCCUGGGAAACUGGGUCUAAUACCGGAUAUGACCUCGCGAUGCAUGUCGUGGGGUGGAAAGCCUUGUGCGGCUAGGGAUGGGCCCGCGGCCUAUCAGCUUGUUGGUGGGGUGAUGGCCUACCAAGGCGACGACGGGUAGCCGGCCUGAGAGGGCGACCGGCCACACUGGGACUGAGACACGGCCCAGACUCCUACGGGAGGCAGCAGUGGGGAAUCUUGCGCAAUGGGCGAAAGCCUGACGCAGCGACGCCGCGUGAGGGAUGACGGCCUUCGGGUUGUAAACCUCUUUCAGCCCUGACGAAGCGAAGUGACGGUAGGGCGAGAAGAAGCACCGGCCAACUACGUGCCAGCAGCCGCGGUAA